rnacentral:rRNA from 1 species
CCUACGGGAGGCAGCAGUGGGGAAUUUUGGACAAUGGGCGCAAGCCUGAUCCAGCAAUGCCGCGUGCAGGAUGAAGGCCUUCGGGUUGUAAACUGCUUUUGUACGGAGCGAAAAGGCCUACUUUAAUACAGUGGGCUAAUGACGGUACCGUAAGAAUAAGCACCGGCUAACUACGUGCCAGCAGCCGCGGUAAUACGUAGGGUGCGAGCGUUAAUCGGAAUUACUGGGCGUAAAGCGUGCGCAGGCGGUUAUGCAAGACAGAUGUGAAAUCCCCGGGCUCAACUUGGGACCUGCAUUUGUGACUGCAUAGCUAGAGUACGGUAGAGGGGGAUGGAAUUCCGCGUGUAGCAGUGAAAUGCGUAGAUAUGCGGAGGAACACCGAUGGCGAAGGCAAUCCCCUGGACCUGUACUGACGCUCAUGCACGAAAGCGUGGGGAGCAAACAGGAUUAGAUACCCUGGUAGUCCACGCCCUAAACGAUGUCAACUGGUUGUUGGGUCUUCACUGACUCAGUAACGAAGCUAACGCGUGAGUUGACCGCUGGGGAGUUCGGCCGCAAGGUUGAAACGUUNAAUUGAAUUGACGNUUGAGNGNGCGAGCGACGACGAGGAGGAGG